GAUGGGGGUGGGGCUGAGUGUGGCAAGUACAUUUUGCUUGCCCAAAUCAAUCACAGGACUCUGGACAGCUGCUUUUCUGAUCGGCUGAUCAGAAAAUGACAGGAGGUAGUUUAGACUGAGGACUACGACUCAACUUGAGGCUGGAAGUUUGAAAAUUUAGAAGCGAAGGCUGCCAACGACAGAGUGAGCAUUCGUCCAAUCAGCUGCCUGAAGGGUUAAUCACCAUGUAGCCUAUUUGAAGUGACAUACUGAUACGGUUCUUCACCAGGCCAUCGUAGUCGACUGAGGAAAGAAACACAGGACGGGAUUAGCCACGCUGGUUACAAACAAACUG